AACGAACGCUGGCGGCAUGCCUAACACAUGCAAGUCGAACGAGACCUUCGGGUCUAGUGGCGCACGGGUGCGUAACGCGUGGGAACCUGCCCUUAGGUUCGGAAUAACUCCCCGAAAGGGGUGCUAAUACCGGAUAAUGUCUUCGGACCAAAGAUUUAUCGCCUUUGGAUGGGCCCGCGUUGGAUUAGCUAGUUGGUAGGGUAAAAGCCUACCAAGGCGACGAUCCAUAGCUGGUCUGAGAGGAUGAUCAGCCACACUGGGACUGAGACACGGCCCAGACUCCUACGGGAGGCAGCAGUGGGGAAUAUUGGACGAUGGGCGAAAGUCUGAUCCAGCAAUGCCGCGUGAGUGAUGAAGGCCUUAGGGUUGUAAAGCUCUUUUAGCCGGGAUGAUAAUGACAGUACCGGGAGAAUAAGCACCGGCUAACUCCGUG
rnacentral:rRNA from 1 species